UGAGCGUUACGAUGAUGGAAGAUAUUCCAAGUGUCUAGCUCAGUUUCUCCCGGGUUUAACCCGGGAG
rfam:Alkalibacterium sp. AK22 ATG3_contig_5, whole genome shotgun sequence.